rnacentral:lncRNA from 1 species
CAUGAUACACACACUGAGGCACGUUGUCUAUAAUUAACCCCGAGCCUUUCUAGCCAUCCUGAAUCAUUAUAUCCCUCGUAACCCCCUUUGAGCCUAUAUCCAUUUUUUGUUUAAAACACCAUGAAUGUAACCAUUGGCCAAAAACACUUCCUCACCCUGUUCAGAGUCAUGAGAAUACAUUUCAACUGUGUUGAAAAUCUAAGUUUGGGGUAAAAACCCCAAAAGCUCUCAAAGCCCUAGAAAGUGCAAAAAUAAAAGAAAAAUAAAAAUCAAAUAAUCGACGAUUCAAAAGAAAAAGCAGGAAAAA